rnacentral:rRNA from 1 species
GACGAACGCUGGCGGCGUGCUUAACACAUGCAAGUCGAACGGAAAGGCCCGGCUUUUGGGGGCGGCUCGAGUGGCGAACGGGGGAGUAACACGUUAGUAACCGGCCUUUGACUUGGGGAUAACUUCUGGAAACUGGGGCUAAUACCGGAUAAGAGCUCCUGCUGCAUGGUGUGGGUUGGAAAGGGUCGGCGGUUGGGGUUGGACUCGCGGCUUAUCAGCUUGUUGGUGGGGUAGUGUCUUACCAAGGCUUUGGCGCGUAGCCGGCCUGGGCGGGUGACCGGCCAAAUUGGGACGGAGAUACGGCACAGACUCCUACGGGACGCGGGGGUGCGGAAUAGUGCACAAUGGGAGGAAGGCAGAUGUAGCCCCGCCGCGCGGGGGAUGACGGGCAUCGGGUUGUGAUCUGAUUUCGCCUGUGACGGGGAGUGAGUGACGGUACUGGGUAAAGAAGCCCCGGCUAACUACGUG